AUUGAACGCUGGCGGCAGGCCUAACACAUGCCAGUCGAGCGAGCGGCGGACGGGUGAGUAAUGUAUGGGGACUGCCCGAUCGAGGGGGAUAACUACUGGAAACGGUAGCUAAUACCGCAUACUAUCGGAUAACCCAUAUGGGAUUAGCUCCUAGGUGAGGUAAUGGCUCACCUAGGCGACGCUCCCUAGCUGGGCUGAGAGGAGGAUCAGCCACACUGGAACUGAGACACGGCCCAGACUCCGACGGAGGCAGCAGUGGGGAAUAGUGCACAAGGGGCGCAAGCCUGAUGCAGCCAUGCCGCGUGUAUGAAGAAGGCCCUAGGGUUGUAAAGUACUUUCAGUCGGGAGGCGUUACCGACAGAAGAAGCACCGGCUAACUCCGUGCCAGCAGCCGCGGUAAUAC
rnacentral:rRNA from 1 species